rnacentral:rRNA from 1 species
CCUACGGGAUGCAGCAGUGGGGAAUAUUGCACAAUGGGGGAAACCCUGAUGCAGCGACGCCGCGUGAGUGAAGAAGUCCUUCUUUAUGUAAAGCUCUAUCAGCAGGGAAGAAAAUGACGGUACCUGAGUAAGAAGCCCCGGCUAACUCCGUGCCAGCAGCCGCGGUAAUACGUAGGGGGCAAGCGUUAUCCGGAUUUACUGGGUGGAAAGGGAGCGUAGACGGCAGUGCAAGUCUGGAGUGAAAGGCGGGGGCUCAACCCCCGGACUGCUCUGGAAACUGUACGGCUGGAGUGAAGGAGAGGUAAGUGGAAUUCCUAGUGUAGCGGUGAAAUGCGUAGAUAUUAGGAGGAACACCAGUGGCGAAGGCGGCUUACUGGACUGUAACUGACGUUGAGGCUCGAAAGCGUGGGGAGCAAACAGGAUUAGAUACCCCAGUAGUC